UACGUAGGGUGCAAGCGUUAAUCGGAAUUACUGGGCGUAAAGCGUGCGCAGGCGGUUGUGCAAGACCGAUGUGAAAUCCCCGGGCUUAACCUGGGAAUGGCAUUGGUGACUGCACGGCUAGAGUGUGUCAGAGGGGGGUAGAAUUCCACGUGUAGCAGUGAAAUGCGUAGAUAUGCGGAGGAACACCGAUGGCGAAGGCAAUCCCCUGGGCCUGUACUGACGCUCAUGCACGAAAGCGUGGGGAGCAAACAGG
rnacentral:rRNA from 1 species